AGUAGGUUAAGUGAUAGAUUUUCAAAAAAAUGAUAUCAAAUAAAAGGUAAAUAUCUAAGGUUUUAGUAUAAAAAAAAAUUAUGUUGAUUUGUUGAUUUUUCAAAAAGUUAUAGAAGUUUUAAGAAAAAAAAGUGAAAAAAUUUCGAAAAUUAGCGAUUUUUAAAUUUGUAAUUUUUUUGGAUAUUUCCCCCAUUUGCGGGGAACGAGAGGAAUUUUUUUCAAUUUUUAAGGGUAAUGUCUUCAACUAGAUACGAUUUGUGAUCUUUUGACGUAUUUUUGAAAGAAAUCGGUCCAGUGAGAGCUGAGAAAAAGUGGCAACAGACAUAAAAAAAAAAAAAAAACAUCAUAGUAAAAUUAAUACCUUCUCCGCUUCGCAUCGAAGCUAAA